rnacentral:lncRNA from 1 species
UACAACCACGUAUUUCCGAUCGAAACAAGCAUACAAAACUCGCACGAAGACGAGUCCAGAGAUUACAACAAUCCAGAUAACAUAUUACAGGUCCCAAAUUAAUUUAUUACAAACUGAGUGUUCAAAUGCAUAAAGAUUGUUUAGAUCUCAAAGCAGCGAAAAAAGAAAAUGAUAGUUCUAACGACGAUACAUAAUACCAUGGUGAAGCCUCCCAUGAUAUCACUCACCACGAUCCUCGCCCACCGAGGUCGAGUCCCACGCAACCAUCCAUCCCGGAGGGAGUUGGCAUGGCCAAGUCACACUAGCAACCAUAUCCUCAACAUCAACAUUACCUGAAAAUAUAGCCUCAAGCAAGGUUGAGUAUACUAAAACUCCGCAAGACUUACCCGUCGAGUGGUAUCUAAUCCACCGACUCCUAGACAUGCAAGGUUUUCUGGCUGAGGGGUUUAUUUUUUCCAAAAGCUUCUAAAGUGGAUCCUUGCUUUCAAGUUUUAGCAUCAAGUUCUAGUUGGUUAACCAUUCUAGGUAAGCAACUAUUCUAAGCAAGCAUGGUAGAACAAGUAAUUAAAUCAAGCAUCAAUAUUAAGCAUCAUCUAUGUUCAUCUUCUUACUCAACGCAGCAUAGUGAUCAAGUAGUCCCAAACUAUGAGAAGCACACGAUUCGAAUUGAAUUUCUUAACCUUGCAAGGUGGACCUAAACACACGACAUAUGCAUACCCCCAUGGUUCACACAUGUCAGUCAUUUCCAUCGAUCCCCU